rnacentral:ncRNA from 1 species
CGUCUUCAGGGCGGGGUGCAAUUCCCCACCGGCGGUAGGGGCGCAAUGCCCGAGCCCGCGAGCGCUUUGAUGCAUCUGUCUGCCAGACCGAUGCAUCACAGGUCAGCAGAUCCGGUCCAAUGCCGGAGCCGACGGUCACAGUCCGGAUGAAAGAAGAUG